rnacentral:lncRNA from 1 species
UAGAAUUGAUGUCACAUACGUUUUUUAUUUACUUACGUUUUUUAUUCUUAAGCUUGCUACUUUUUUUUUUUUUUCAUUUUCCAAUUUCCAAUGGCACCAAAACAAGAUACAAUUUCUGAAAUCUCACCUGCUAAGGAGAAUUGGAACCUAAUCGUCAGAGUCGUCCGUCUUUGGUAUAUAAAAUAUAUGGCGAAAGAUAAAC